CAAGGAUGAGGAUCCAAUUUCCACUUAAUAAACAGUAAACAAUCAUCAUGCCACACAGUUCAUACAUGUUGGUUGCGUACAUGUGUGUCUUUGUACAAACAUCUAAUAACUGUAGGCAUGAACUGUAGGAGAUGCUUUUGCUUCAUCAGUGUCACUUAAGUAUUUGUCAUGGAGAAGGUCCUGUGCAAGACCUACAUAAGCAGAUAGCCUAUCCUCAGAUAAGCAUAAGCGCCUAAUUGUUAGAAUCCUGUUAUUCAGAGAUAGGAAUUCAGUCCUUCUUAUUACAGAAGAAAAAGAAGAGGAAAUAAAGUAGCAAAAAGGAGCUGUUCUUUUAGGUCGAUAUUUGUAAAAACCUCUACGUGCUCCGGUUGUUCAUUCUGACGAUGUUCCUACCUUCCUUGACUUUGGCUGCUUUUUGCCUCGAUGGUGUCACCAGAUCCUUUACAAUCUGCAAGACCUGAAUCAUUGCUAGUUAACAAGCCAGAGACUACGCUGCUUCCUCCAGAAAUCCAACAGGUUUCAUCACCGAGCUCACUGCUGUUUCUGCUUUCGGGAAGCUCGGCAACACCGUUCAACUACAGAGAGACACAUGCUUUGCUUAGCUAUCCAGGAAGGCUCUGAAGCAGUUAAUAAGAAACAACGAAAGGAUAGGCUGUAUCUUCUUGAUACAAAGUGACUUCAGCACUUGUGAAAACCACCAUCCUCAAAGUCCAAAUGUAUCACUUUACAAAGCAUUAACCAGAUAUAAACAAAACAAAACAAAACAAAACAAAAUAAAACGCAGUGUGGGCAAUCUUCUGCAAAUCACUAAGCACAGUGAAAACAUUUUCUCACAAAAGUCAUGACAGGAAAAAUAAAGUGCUGUGCUAUAAAUUCUCAUAUAGCGGAUCACAGAUGCUAUGUGCAAGUUUUAAAAACACUCAGAAGCAGUCAACCAAAAUACCCUGCACUGCAAAGCCUUAAUACUUUUUUUCCCAAUUUCUCAAAAAUCUCAUAUUUGAAACACAGAAAAUAAAAUGAAGCUAAAAAUAAUACUCUUGCAAACUCCAAGCUCCCAGGUCUGUAUAACAGAUAGGAACCUUCAAAAAUGAGCCUAUAAAUUCCUUGCCCUCCUCCUCAUGCAGACACCUCUGACAUCCUAGUACAUGAAAAGAAGUCUAAAUUCACACUUCCCGCUAGAAAUCCCUGAAGGGUUGAAAUUCAUUGGCCUCACCACUAAGAGGCAUGAGCCAGACAGAGACUGUGCAAAUCAGGUAUAACCACCAUUUUUGCCUCACAGUUUUCAACACCUAAGCUGCAACAACGCCCAAUUAAUAUUGAAUACCUCUGUUACAUAUUCUAUUUACCAUACACAUCCCCUUUUCAAAGGGCUACAGAGUUAAUGAAAAGAGAAAACUGACAUUUGGUGCUAAUGUGGUUAAAUAUUGUAUUUACUGAAUGAUUCUCCACCGGCAAUGUGUUCUCCUUACUGUACCUCCCAACUGUCCCCUCAGUUUUUCUUCUUUCCCAUUUGUUACUUUUGAUAUCCUUAAUGUAUCAUUAAAUAAUGGAUCUCGGGGCGCCUGGGUGGCGCAGUCGGUUAAGCUCCCGACUUCAGCCAGGUCACGAUCUCGCGGUCCGUGAGUUCGAGC